AAUGAUAGAGCAAAUCUCUAUUAGCAGAACGAAGUAGAAAGCUUGGACAUGCAUGCUUCUGGUUUGCCAAAGGAGAUUUGCCCUGCCAUU
rnacentral:pre_miRNA from 1 species